UCCCUCCCCCUCCACUUGAGAAGAGAAUCCCCAGCUCCCUUUCCCCCCCCCACCAAAAACUCUCGUCGUCACGAAUCCACUCUUCUACGAUCUACGGUGCACUGCCGGUGAACGGGUGAUUGGGUCACGCACCCCGUGCGUCUACGUGUCCUAGGACGUUCACGGCCGCAUACACGGAAUCCCCAUUGUCUUCGUUUACAUCUCUCCCUCCACCCAUUGGCCUCACGCCCUCUGUCCUCCUCCCACUACCUUCUAUCUCGACCCGUAUACUGUCUUUCGUCUCAUUCUUUUACUCCCCCGCACAUAAUAAUAGCAAGAAGUUGGAUAUUUUUCUCUUUGCAACACUGUUUGCAAUUUUUUUCCUCUUAUCGCCCGCCCAUGGAAGUGGAAAUUUGACCACAGAAACACGUAUAAACAUUGAAUUCAACUGUAUUUUUCCAAAUAAGGGAAAUAAUUUGUUCCACAUUUGGAAAGAUAUUCGCCAGGAAAUUGCACUUUUGCUAAGAAGUAAAUUGAAAAGUAAUGAAGACAAAGAGUCAAUUUACAAUAUUGAAGAAUUGUCAGAAGAGCAACAAGAUGCAGUGGUUCUUUAUUUACUGCCGAAGCUUAUAAGACCAUCAUUUUCGAAAUACGGAGAAGAUCCAUGGGCCAAAAAAUAAAAAAAAAUCAGACAAGAACAGCGAUUCAUCUGAAAAUACUUCAAAAUCUACGUGCAAUGAAAUACAAGAAUCGUUCAUUUACUUUCAUUAGAUUAAGGAAAAUUACGUUUUGUUACGGAAAUGUGUAAUAAUGUUUGGUAUGAUGAUCAUUUUCAAGCAUAUGAAGAAGCAAAUGAUUGUAUAAAAACAUGGAAAUGUUUAACUCCAAAAAGAUUAAAUAAAGGUAUUGUUACUUUUAUGGUUCGAGGAUGUGAUGGAUCAAAUUAUAUUGCAAAAAGAUGGGUAUGAAUAUUGUUAA